rnacentral:rRNA from 1 species
AUUGAACGCUGGCGGCAGGCCUAACACAUGCAAGUCGAACGGUAACAGGAAGAAGCUUGCUUCUUUGCUGACGAGUGGCGGACGGGUGAGUAAUGUCUGGGAAACUGCCUGAUGGAGGGGGAUAACUACUGGAAACGGUAGCUAAUACCGCAUAACGUCGCAAGACCAAAGAGGGGGACCUUCGGGCCUCUUGCCAUCGGAUGUGCCCAGAUGGGAUUAGCUAGUAGGUGGGGUAACGGCUCACCUAGGCGACGAUCCCUAGCUGGUCUGAGAGGAUGACCAGCCACACUGGAACUGAGACACGGUCCAGGCUCCUACGGGAGGCAGCAGUGGGGAAUAUUGCACAAUGGGCGCAAGCCUGAUGCAGCCAUGCCGCGUGUAUGAAGAAGGCCUUCGGGUUGUAAAGUACUUUCAGCGGGGAGGAAGGGGGUAAAGUUAAUACCUUGACUCAUUGACGUUACCCGCAGAAGAAGCACCGGCUAACUCCGUG